CACGUAGGCACCAAGCGUUAUCCGGAUUUAUUGGGCGUAAAGAGCUCGUAGGCGGUUUGUCGCGUCUGCCGUGAAAAGUCCGGGGCUCAACUCCGGAUCUGCGGUGGGUACGGGCAGACUAGAGUGAUGUAGGGGAGACUGGAAUUCCUGGUGUAGCGGUGAAAUGCGCAGAUAUCAGGAGGAACACCGAUGGCGAAGGCAGGUCUCUGGGCAUUAACUGACGCUGAGGAGCGAAAAGCAUGGGGAGCGAACAGG
rnacentral:rRNA from 1 species